UCCCCGGUAGCUCAGUGGUAGAGCGGGUGGCUGUUAACCACUAGGUCGGCGGUUCGAGCCCGUCCCGGGGAGCCA
rnacentral:tRNA from 1 species